rnacentral:sRNA from 1 species
CCUUGAGCAUGGACAGCCUGGAUCUGCUGGCAAAGAGCUCCUGGGAAGGUGCUGCUGGAUGCAGUUUGCAACCACCUCAACCUCGUGGAAGGUGACUAUUUUGGCCUCGAGUUUCCUGAUCACAAAAAGAUCACGGUGUGGCUGGAUCUCCUAAAACCCAUUGUGAAACAGAUCAGAAGGCCAAAGCAUGUUGUUGUUAAGUUUGUGGUGAAAUUCUUUCCGCCUGACCACACACAACUCCAAGAAGAACUCACAAGGUACCUGUUCGCGCUGCAGGUGAAGCAGGACUUGGCUCAAGGCAGGUUGACGUGUAACGACACCAGCGCAGCUCUCUUGAUUUCACACAUUGUGCAAUCUGAGAUUGGGGAUUUUGAUGAAGCCUUGGACAGAGAGCACUUAGCAAAAAAUAAAUACAUACCUCAGCAAGACGCACUAGAGGACAAAAUCGUGGAAUUUCACCAUAACCACAUUGGACAAACACCAGCAGAAUCAGAUUUCCAGCUCCUAGAGAUUGCCCGUCGGCUAGAGAUGUAUGGAAUCCGGCUGCACCCGGCCAAGGACAGGGAAGGCACGAAGAUCAAUCUGGCCGUUGCCAACACGGGAAUUCUAGUGUUUCAGGUGAGAGCCUUGAGAACACGGCCCGGUUCCCUUGGUGAUAGAGAGAGAAGAACUGGCCCUUCAACUCUGAUUCAUAUUCAGUGGGCCAAGACCUCUGAUUGUUAUUUUUCGGCAAACAAAGAAAAAUUAACCUCAUCUCAGGCUUUCUGUUUCCUAGGCCCUCAGCUCCCAGAUUCUAUUU